ACUCCUACGGGAGGCAGCAGUGGGGAAUAUUGCACAAUGGGCGCAAGCCUGAUGCAGCCAUGCCGCGUGUAUGAAGAAGGCCUUCGGGUUGUAAAGUACUUUCAGCAGUGAGGAAGGUGGAGUCGUUAAUAGCGGCCUCAUUUGAUCGUUUAGCUUGCAGAAGAAGACACCGGCGUAACUCCGUGCCAGCAGCCGCGGUAAUACGGAGGGUGCGAGCGUUAAUCGGAAUUACUGGGCGUAAAGCGCAUGCAGGUGGUUUGUUAAGUCAGAUGUGAAAGCCCGGGGCUCAACCUCGGAAU
rnacentral:rRNA from 1 species